AGCAGCUCUCACACACAGAGGAUCACAUCCAUUUCCUCCAGUCAGACGUCCUCCAGCUGACAUUGGAUCUGAAUACAGCUCAUCCAGAACUCAGGCUGUCUGAUGGAAACUGGAAGGUGACAGCCACUGAUAAAGCUCAGCCCUAUCCUGACUACUGGAGACAGGUGCUGUGUAGAGAGGGCCUGUCUGGAGUCUGCUACUGGGAGGUAGAGUGG